rnacentral:rRNA from 1 species
UACGAGGGGGGCAAGCGUUGUUCGGAAUUAUUGGGCGUAAAGGGUGCGUAGGCGGUUUGGUAAGUCUGAUGUGAAAUCUAUGGGCUCAACUCAUAGUCUGCAUCGGAAACUGCCGGGCUUGAGUGUGGGAGAGGUGAGUGGAAAUUCCUGGUGUAGCGGUGAAAUGCGUAGAUAUCAGGAGGAACACCUGUGGCGAAAGCGGCUCACUGACCAUAACUGACGCUGAUGCACGAAAGCUAGGGGAGCAAAACAGG